rnacentral:rRNA from 1 species
GACGAACGCUGGCGGCGUGCUUAACACAUGCAAGUCGAACGAUGAAGCCGGAGCUUGCUCUGGUGAAUUAGUGGCGAACGGGUGAGUAACACGUGAGUAACCUGCCCUUGACUCUGGGAUAACUGCGGGAAACUGUAGCUAAUACCGGAUACGACCCUCGGAGGCAUCUCCUGGGGGUGGAAAGAAUUUCGGUCAAGGAUGGACUCGCGGCCUAUCAGCGAGUUGGUGAGGUAAAGGCUCACCAAGGCGACGACGGGUAGCCGGCCUGAGAAGGUGAACGGCCACACUGGGACUCAGACACGGCCCAGACUCCUACGGGAGGCAGCAGUGGGGAAUAUUGCACAAUGGGCGCAAGCCUGAUGCAGCAACGCCGCGUGAGGGAUGACGGCCUUCGGGUUGUAAACCUCUUUUAGCAGGGAAGAAGCGAAAGUGACGGUACCUGCAGAAAAAGCACCGGCUAACUACGUGCCAGCCGCCGCAGUAA